UACGAAGGGAGCUAGCGUUGUUCGGAAUCACUGGGCGUAAAGCGCACGUAGGCGGACGUGUCAGUCAGGGGUGAAAUCCCGGAGCUCAACUUCGGAACUGCCUUUGAUACAGCACGUCUUGAGUCCGGAAGAGGUGGGUGGAAUUCCUAGUGUAGAGGUGAAAUUCGUAGAUAUGAGGAAGAACACCGGUGGCGAAGGCGGCCCACUGGUCCGGUACUGACGCUGAGGUGCGAAAGCGUGGGGAGCAAACAGG
rnacentral:rRNA from 1 species